rnacentral:rRNA from 1 species
GACGUAGGGGGCGAGCGUUGUCCGGAUUUAUUGGGCGUAAAGAGCGCGUAGGCGGCCCGUUAAGUCGGAUGUGAAAACCCGUGGCUCAACCACGGGCCUGCAUCCGAUACUGGCGGGCUCGAGGCAGGCAGGGGAGAUCGGAAUUCCUGGUGUAGCGGUGAAAUGCGUAGAUAUCUGGAGGAACACCGGUGGCGAAGGCGGCAUCCUGGACCGGCAUUGACGCUGAGGAGCGAAAGCCAGGGGAGCAAACGGG